ACGGUUAAGGUGGCUGUCCGCCAUUGAUAAGAUGGUGGGAGGAAAGUCCGGGCUCCACAAGGCAGCGUAGCGGGUAAUGCCCGCCCCCAGUACUAAUUUUAAGCUAAAAUUAGUGCUGGGCGGAUAUCCGUUAUUUAACGGAUCCUGAAUAGAUUCGGGAGAGCCACAGAGACGAGCCGCCCUAUUCUUUCUACAUUGCAAGCAAUGUAGAAAGAAAGCAUAAACAGGGCGGGUGAAACGCGGCAAUCUCUACGCGGAGCAAGGUCAUGUAGGAGGCGAGCCUGCCAUUUGGCGAGGCGCGAACCAGCCUGGUUCGCUUGAGCCUCGGGUAGACUGCUGAAGAUUCCGUAGUAAUACGGGAUCAUAGAUGAAUAGCCAUUCACCCCCACACCAACUUCACGCUAAAAUUACAUGCGAUGAUUACCCUGUCGUAGAAGUUGGUGCGGGGGUGACAGAACCCGGCUUACCAGACCUUAUCC
rnacentral:RNase_P_RNA from 1 species